rnacentral:rRNA from 1 species
GUGCAGCAGUCGAGAAACUUUACAAUGUGCGAAAGCACGAUAAGGGAACUCUGAGUGCCUCCUAAGGAGGCUGUUCAGGUGUCUAAAAGCACCUGAAGGAAGGGCUGGGUAAGACCGGUGCCAGCCGCCGCGGUAACACCGGCAGCCCAAGUGGUAGCCACGUUUAUUGGGUCUGAAGCGUCCGUAGCCGGCUGGGUAAGUUCCUUGGGAAAUUUGGCUGCUUAACAGUCAAGCUUUCAGGGAAUACUGCCCGGCUUGGGGACCGGGAGAGGUCAGAGGUACUCCAGGGGUAGGGGUGAAAUCCAUUAAUCCUUGGGGGACCACCGGUAGCGAAGGCGUCUGACCAGACCGGGUCCGACGGUGAGGGACGAAGGCUAGGGGCGCGAACCGGAUUAGAUA